rnacentral:tRNA from 1 species
GCGGUGGCGGUUCAGUGGUGGAAUUUUUGCCUUUCAUGCAGAAGAUCCGGGUUCGAUUCCUGGUCAACGCA